rnacentral:rRNA from 1 species
GUGUCAGCAGCCGCGGUAAUCCCGGCAGUCCAAGUCGCAGCCAACAUUAUUGGGUCUAAAACAUCCGUAGCUUGUUUAUUAAGUUCCUUGUGAAAUCCUAUGUCUCAAGCAUGGGGCUUGCGGGGAAUACUGAUAGGCUAGAGAUCGGAAGAUGCAAAGAGUACACGAAAGGUAGUGGUAAAAUACGUUAAUCUUUCGCGGACUAACAAUUGGCGAAGGCACUUUGCAAGUACGAAUCUGACAGUGAGGGAUGAAGGCCAGUGGCGCAAAAUGGAUUAGAUACCCUAGUAGUCC